rnacentral:rRNA from 1 species
GACGAACGCUGGCGGCGUGCUUAACACAUGCCAGUCGAACGGAAAGGCCCUGCUUUUUUGGGGUUCUCGAGUGGCGAACGGGUGAGUAACACGUGAGUAACCUGCUCUUCAUUUUGGGAUAACUUCAGGAAACUGGGGCUAAUACCGGAUAGGAGCUCCUGCUGCAUGGUGGGGGGUGGAAAGUUUCGGCGGUUGGGGAUGGACUCGCGGCUUAUCAGCUUGUUGGUGGGGUAGUGGCUUACCAAGGCUUUGACGGGUAGCCGGCCUGAGAGGGGGACCGGGAACAUGGGGACUGAGAUACGGCCCAGACUCGUACGGGAGGCAGCAGUGGGGAAUAUUGCACAAUGGGCGGAAGCCGGAUGAAGCAACGCCGCGUGCGGGAUGACGGCCUUCGGGUUGUAAACAGCAUCCGCCUGUGACGAAGCGUGAGUGACGGUAAUGGAUAAAGAAGCACCGGCUAACUACGUG